rnacentral:tRNA from 1 species
AAUUGAUUAGUCUAAAAAAGACAUUUAUUUUGAAAAUAAAAAAUAAUUUAUAAUUUAAUUAUCAAUUU